CUUUGACCCGGCGGAUGAAGGCCAGCAGUCCGGUGGCGUGGUAGGGCACGCCGUGCUCGGGCCACGACGUGAAGUGGAACUGCCGCACCUCGUGCUUGGUGGAGUAGCCCCUCUGUCAACACAAAGCCAGCGCCCGAGACGUGUGGGAAGGAGGGAGAGGAAUAAAGAAAACGUUUGGAGAAAAGCUGUGUGGAUUAGGGGAGAAAACACAAACCUGUGCUUCAUCCGCCGAGAUGAGAUCCAUAAUCCAAUCACGCAAACGUAGGAAGAAGCGCAGAGAGGUCCGAUUCACGGCAACAAAGGGCAUCGCCAUGUAGCUGCAGUUUGUUUACCUCGCCAGCCGCCUCUACGGCUGGACGCUGGAUCGAUGGCGCCGCCUCACCUCACCUCACCUCGGCCCCGGGUUCUGCUGUAAAGCUGCGCCGCUCCCCGGUUCCCGCGCCGGGACGGCAGCUGCCACACACGCCGGCCCGUUUACGACCCGCUGUAAAUCCGUGAUCAAUGUGUGUGCACAGCGCAGGUGUUCCUCAGGGAAAUAAAAGCUUAUACCUGCCAGGGGAGCGCGAGAUGAUGCUGCUCAUCAUUUUCCUUAAUAAUAG